AAAAAGGGGGGGGGGAGGGUCAGGCGUGAUCUCCUACCACACAGAUUGCACAAAGGUCCCCAAGCUAGAAUGGUUUUCCUUUCCCAAUCUUCCAGGUGGAUAACAGGUUAUGCAUUCCUUCUCUUGAAAGAACAUCCCUGUACCCUGUAUCCUAACAUUCCAGGUUCCCCUGGUGCUAGUCUGUGAGCGCAAGGACCUCCAUGCUUCCUACAGGUUUUACUGCCGACUGACCACUUACGUUCAAUUUUAUUUCUGAUAGUUUAGCUGCCUGGAAAAUGGGAACUAGGAUUUGAAAUCUAAAUAUUAUGGAGUACUUAACAUUGUUAAUGCUUAGGUCUAUUUUUGGAGGUAUUUAUAGACUUAGGGAGACUGCUUAUAAGUUUAUAACUAUGAAAAACCAUAUAAUAAAAUCUGACUUUUAAAAAAGAUCAAAAUGCAGUGGUCAGAUGGUCACCAGCGUACUGUGCUCAGGCUUCUCCUGCCGUGGAAUUGGGGAGGGGUCUUUCCAAUGCUUCUGGACUUGGAGAAAAUGCACUGUAUUAUGGGAGAUUGUAAAGAUGAGGUGCAAACGGUAAUACUUUUAGGUUUCAAUUGACUAGGUUUGUUUAGAGACAAAUUGAAACAAUUGUCAGAUUCAGUGCCCCACACUCAGCCACACGUGAUGCCAUGCAAAGCAGGCCCUGCCUGACCGCCACCAGCUCCCUGGAGCCAGUGCAGCUGAUGGCAGAACUGACACAGAGGGAAGGUCUGAGGUUCCUAUGCUAAGCAGGCUCUCUGCACUCCAUCUAUUAGAUAUGUGUGACAUCUUUCCAAACCCGGGUCACAAAUGCACCCUCACAUUCAUCUCACAAAGGCACCUGGAGUUCUGACUUUCAAUUGUAUCUUAGCUGUAAAAAUACCACCACGACAACAGGCCUUGAAUUUUUUGAAUAUAGAUACAGACUGGCACUCCUCCCCCUCCUCUCCUUUACUUUCUUGUCAGCUUGUAUAAUGCACAGUAUCUUUACAAAUGGAUACUUAAUUGGAAUGAUGUAUAUGUGCAAAUAUCACAAUGGUUUUAAUAAAGUAACGAGAUU
rnacentral:lncRNA from 1 species